UGGGGAAUUUUCCGCAAUGGGCGAAAGCCUGACGGAGCGACGCCGCGUGGAGGACGAAAUUUUUCGGAAUGUAAACUCCUUUUGUCAGGGACGAAUCAAUGACGGUACCUGAAGAAUAAGCAUCGGCUAACUACGUGCCAGCAGCCGCGGUAAUACGUAGGAUGCAAGCGUUGUUCGGAAUUACUGGGCGUAAAGCGUAUGUAGGCGGUUAUAUAAGUCUUUUAUUAAAGACCGGGGCUCAACUUCGGGAGUGUAAAGGAAACUGUAUAACUAGAGGUCAGAAGGGGAAAUCGGAAUUCUUAGUGUAGCGGUGAAAUGCGUAGAUAUUAGGAAGAACACCGGUGGCGAAAGCGGAUUUCUGGUCUGAAACUGACGCUGAGAUACGAAGGUGUGGGGAGCA
rnacentral:rRNA from 1 species